rnacentral:rRNA from 1 species
CCUACGGGGGGCAGCAGUGGGGAAUAUUGCACAAUGGGCGAAAGCCUGAUGCAGCAACGCCGCGUGAGUGAUGAAGGCCUUCGGGUCGUAAAACUCUGUCCUCAAGGAAGAUAAUGACGGUACUUGAGGAGGAAGCCCCGGCUAACUACGUGCCAGCAGCCGCGGUAAUACGUAGGGGGCUAGCGUUAUCCGGAUUUACUGGGCGUAAAGGGGGCGGAGGCGGACUGUAAAGUCUGGAGUGAAAGGCUGCGGCCCACCCGUAGAAAGCUCUUGAAACCGGGAGACUUGAGUGCAGGAGAGGCGAGUGGAAUUCCUAGGGUAGCGGUGAAAUGCGUAGAUAUUAGGAGGAACACCAGUUGCGAAGGCGGCUCUCUGGACUGUAACUGACGCUGAGGCACGAAAGCGUGGGGAGCAAACAGGAUUAGAUACCCCGGUAGUC